UGUUUUUAGGUUGAUUAUCGCUGC
rnacentral:siRNA from 1 species